rnacentral:rRNA from 1 species
GAUGAACGCUGGCGGCGUGCCUAAUACAUGCAAGUCGAGCGAACAGACGAGGAGCUUGCUCCUCUGACGUUAGCGGCGGACGGGUGAGUAACACGUGGAUAACCUACCUAUAAGACUGGGAUAACUUCGGGAAACCGGAGCUAAUACCGGAUAAUAUAUUGAACCGCAUGGUUCAAUAGUGAAAGACGGUUUUGCUGUCACUUAUAGAUGGAUCCGCGCCGCAUUAGCUAGUUGGUAAGGUAACGGCUUACCAAGGCGACGAUGCGUAGCCGACCUGAGAGGGUGAUCGGCCACACUGGAACUGAGACACGGUCCAGACUCCUACGGGAGGCAGCAGUAGGGAAUCUUCCGCAAGGGGCGAAAGCCUGACGGAGCAACGCCGCGGGAGUGAUGAAGGUCUUCGGAUCGUAAAACUCUGUUAUUAGGGAAGAACAAAUGUGUAAGUAACGAUGCACGUCUUGACGGUACCUAAUCAGAAAGCCACGGCUAACUACGU